GGCUCAGGACGAACGCUGGCGGCGUGCCUAAUACAUGCAAGUCGAACGCUUCCUUUUCCACCGGAGCUUGCUCCACCGGAAAAAGAGGAGUGGCGAACGGGUGAGUAACACGUGGGUAACCUGCCCAUCAGAAGGGGAUAACACUUGGAAACAGGUGCUAAUACCGUAUAACAAUCGAAACCGCAUGGUUUUGAUUUGAAAGGCGCUUUCGGGUGUCGCUGAUGGAUGGACCCGCGGUGCAUUAGCUAGUUGGUGAGGUAACGGCUCACCAAGGCCACGAUGCAUAGCCGACCUGAGAGGGUGAUCGGCCACAUUGGGACUGAGACACGGCCCAAACUCCUACGGGAGGCAGCAGUAGGGAAUCUUCGGCAAUGGACGAAAGUCUGACCGAGCAACGCCGCGUGAGUGAAGAAGGUUUUCGGAUCGUAAAACUCUGUUGUUAGAGAAGAACAAGGAUGAGAGUAACUGUCCAUCCCUUGACGGUAUCUAACCAGAAAGCCACGGCUAACUACGUGCCAGCAGCCGCGGUAAUACGUAGGUGGCAAGCGUUGUCCGGAUUUAUUGGGCGUAAAGCGAGCGCAGGCGGUUUCUUAAGUCUGAUGUGAAAGCCCCCGGCUCAACCGGGGAGGGUCAUUGGAAACUGGGAGACUUGAGUGCAGAAGAGGAGAGUGGAAUUCCAUGUGUAGCGGUGAAAUGCGUAGAUAUAUGGAGGAACACCAGUGGCGAAGGCGGCUCUCUGGUCU
rnacentral:rRNA from 1 species